rnacentral:rRNA from 1 species
GUAACGGCGAGCGAAGCGGCAAUAGCUCCAAUUUGAAAGGCUUCGGCCAUUGUAAUUCGCAGAAGGAUCUCGAUAACGAAGGAAAAGUCUCUUGGAACAGAGCGCCAUAGAGGGUGACAGCCCCGUAACCCCCUUCAUCAUCAUGGAUCCUAUCGAAGAGUCGAGUAGUUUGGGAAUGCUGCUCUAAUGGGAGGUAAAUCCCUCCUAAAGCUAAAUACUUGCCAGAGACCGAUAGCGCACAAGUAGCGUGAGCGAAAGAUGAAAAGCACUUUGGAAAGAGGGUCAAACAGUACGUGAAAUUGUUGAAAGGGAAGCGUUUCCUAUACCAAGGGGGCAGUUAAUGCUUUAGCAUGCCCAGAGAGCCGUGUCAGUGGAUGGAUGUAGGAAGGUAAGAAAUGUAGCGCUUGCGUAUUAUAGUCUUUUUCCUGAAUGCAUCCUGUACACUGAGGACCGCCUCUUUUUUUUUUUAAAGAGAUGGACACGGAAAGUAUAGGCAACGACCCGUCUUGAAACACGGACCAAGGAGUCAACCUUGUAUGCGAGUAGUAGGGUGUCAAGCCCUGGUGCGGAAUGAAAGUGAUAGGGACCACCUUUAUUGGACAGUCCCGACCGAUCCUGAUGUUCUCGGAUGGAUUUGAGUAGGAGCAUAUAGGGUUGGACCCGAAAGAAGGUGAACUAUGCUUGUAUAGGGUGAAGCCAGAGGAAACUCUGGUGGAGGCUCGCAGCGGUUCUGACGUGCAAAUCGAUCGUCAAAUAUGAGCAUGGGGGCGAAAGACUAAU